rnacentral:tRNA from 1 species
GUCUCUUCUAUUUUACUGGUCCCGGACACCCCGCUCUUUGAGCGGGACAACACCGGUUCAAAUCCGGUUGGGGACGCCA